rnacentral:rRNA from 1 species
CUUUUUUUUGUGUAGAUUCGACCUGAUAUUAUUGGGGCCUAAAGCCUCCGUAGCCGGCCACGAAGUUCCACCGGGAAAUCCGCCGGCUCUUCUGGCGGGCGUCCGGUGAAAACCACGUGGCUUGGGACCGGAAGGCUCGAGGGGUACGUCCGGGGUAGGAGUGAAAUCCCGUAAUCCUGGACGGACCACCGAUGGCGAAAGCACCUCGAGAAGACGGAUCCGACGGUGAGGGACGAAAGCUAGGGUCUCGAACCGGAUUAGAUACCCGGGUAGUCCUAGCUGUAAACGAUGCUCGCAAGGAGUGGCACAGGCUACGAGCCUGUGCUGUGCCGUAGGGAAGCCGAGAAGCGAGCCGCCUGGGAAGUACGUCCGCAAGGAUGAAACUCACAGGAAUUGACGGGGUGU